AUUGAACGCUGGCGGCAUGCCUUACACAUGCAAGUCGAACGGCAGCACGGGGGCAACCCCGGUGGCGAGUGGCGAACGGGUGAGUAAUGCAUCGGAACGUGCCCAGUAGUGGGGGACAACCAGUCGAAAGAUUGGCUAAUACCGCAUACGACCUAUGAGUGAAAGCGGGGGACCGUAAGGCCUCGCGCUAUUGGAGCGGCCGAUGUCUGAUUAGCUAGUUGGUGAGGUAAAAGCUCACCAAGGCGACGAUCAGUAGCUGGUCUGAGAGGACGACCAGCCACACUGGGACUGAGACACGGCCCAGACUCCUACGGGAGGCAGCAGUGGGGAAUUUUGGACAAUGGGCGCAUGCCUGAUCCAGCCAUGCCGCGUGCGGGAAGAAGGCCUUCGGGUUGUAAACCGCUUUUGGCAGGAACGAAACGGCGACUCUUAAUACGGGUCGUUAAUGACGGUACCUGCAGAAUAAGCACCGGCUAACUACGUGCCAGCAGCCGCCGUAAAAC
rnacentral:rRNA from 1 species